rnacentral:rRNA from 1 species
AUUGAACGCUGGCGGCAUGCUUUACACAUGCAAGUCGAACGGCAGCGCGGGCUUCGGCCUGGCGGCGCGUGGCGAACGGGUGAGUAAUGCAUCGGAACGUGCCCAGUAGUGGGGGAUAGCCCGGCGAAAGCCGGAUUAAUACCGCAUACGACCUGAGGGUGAAAGCGGGGGACCGGAAGGCCUCGCGCUAUUGGAGCGGCCGCUGUCGGAUUAGCUAGUUGGUGGGGUAAAGGCUUACCAAGGCGACGAUCCGUAGCUGGUCUGAGAGGACGACCAGCCACACGGGGACGGAGACACGGCCCAGACUCCUACGGGAGGCAGCAGUGGGGAAUGUUGGACAAUGGGGGCAACCCUGAUCCAGCCAUGCCGCGUGCGGGAAGAAGGCCUUCGGGUUGUAAACCGCUUUUGUUCGGGAAGAAAUCCUCUGGGCUAAUACCCCGGGGGGAUGACGGUACCGGAAGAAUAAGCACCGGCUAACUACGUG